rnacentral:rRNA from 1 species
UCAGGACGAACGCUGGCGGCGUGCUUAACACAUGCAAGUCGAACGAUGAACCGGCUUCGGCUGGGGAUUAGUGGCGAACGGGUGAGUAACACGUGGGCAAUCUGCCCUGCACUCUGGGACAAGCCCUGGAAACGGGGUCUAAUACCGGAUAUGACCUGGUGAGGCAUCUCAUCGGGUGGAAAGCUCCGGCGGUGCAGGAUGAGCCCGCGGCCUAUCAGCUUGUUGGUGGGGUGAUGGCCUACCAAGGCGACGACGGGUAGCCGGCCUGAGAGGGCGACCGGCCACACUGGGACUGAGACACGGCCCAGACUCCUACGGGAGGCAGCAGUGGGGAAUAUUGCACAAUGGGCGAAAGCCUGAUGCAGCGACGCCGCGUGAGGGAUGACGGCCUUCGGGUUGUAAACCUCUUUCAGCAGGGAAGAAGCGCAAGUGACGGUACCUGCAGAAGAAGCGCCGGCUAACUACGUGCCAGCAGCCGCGGUAAUACGUAGGGCGCAAGCGUUGUCCGGAAUUAUUGGGCGUAAAGAGCUCGUAGGCGGCUUGUCACGUCGGAUGUGAAAGCCCGGGGCUUAACCCCGGGUCUGCAUUCGAUACGGGCAGGCUAGAGUUCGGUAGGGGAGAUCGGAAUUCCUGGUGUAGCGGUGAAAUGCGCAGAUAUCAGGAGGAACACCGGUGGCGAAGGCGGAUCUCUGGGCCGAUACUGAC